AGAUUGAACGCUGGCGGCAUGCCUUACACAUGCAAGUCGAACGGUAGAGUAGCAAUACUUGAGAGUGGCGAACGGGUGAGUAAUAUAUCGGAACGUGCCCAGUCGUGGGGGAUAACGUAGAGAAAUUUACGCUAAUACCGCAUACGAUCUAAGGAUGAAAGCGGGGGACUCGCAAGAGCCUCGCGCGAUUGGAGCGGCUGAUAUCAGAUUAGGUUGUUGGUGGGUAAAAGCCUACCAAGGCGACGAUCUGUAGCUGGUCUGAGAGGACGACCAGCCACACUGGAACUGAGACACGGUCCAGACUCCUACGGGAGGCAGCAGUGGGAAUUUUGGACAAUGGGCGCAAGCCUGAUCCAGCAAUGCCGCGUGCAGGAUGAAGGCCUUGGUUGUAACUGCUUUGUACGACGAACGUUCUCUCUAAUACAGGGCUAAUGACGUACCGUAAGAAUAAGCACGGCUAACUACGUAGCCAGCAGCCGCGUAACG
rnacentral:rRNA from 1 species